CCGGAUAAAUUCAGCACAGAUUAACCCGUGCUGGAAAGGAAGUCGGGCACAGACACAAAAUAAAACAUCCGGCUUCUUUUCAAAAUAAAACACUCCGUGUUUCAGGAGGAUCGUAUUUCACACCAUGCAAACGGGCGGAGACAAACAAGUGAAAGGUUUUUAGACGUCAUUUCACCCCGAUGACACCAUGGAUGAGGAGAUGCUGAUUCUAGAAAUCUAGAAGUAGAUUUCCUUCCCUGGAAGGAUCCGCAGCUUUUCGUAGCCAUUCCGGAUUCGGUGGAAACUGGGGGUUCAUUUUCACGCAAUAAGUCAUAUUUGGCGUCAUGGCUCUUAUCUAGGCGGUUACCGCCUUUCUGAGCUGUCAGCUGAUUCAAGUAAGUGUCGAGAUCAGCUGAUAACUGCGGGUUGAGCCUGACUUCAUCGCCCGCCUGAACAGACAGAUUAGCAGCUACGUUUCUUUGCCGGUUUUGCCUCGAAUAGAAAUCCUCCUGCUCUAACUUCAGUUGUUUAUGUCCACGGUUCAUUGUCGUCAUGCAACAUAAACAUCUUCAGUUUGUUGCGUCACUUCUGAUUAAUUUUCCUCAGAAAUUCCAGGCUGCAUCUUCACAGCAGCUCAUCUCAGUUUGUGGUCAUUUUUACUGGGAAAAUAGCAGGAUAAAGUCAUGUGGUCCACCCAGAACAUUUUAGGAAGUUUUGAGGAGGUCCAUCCAUGUGUGAGGACAACCUUAAAGGAAUGAAAUGUUAUCAUGAGAAAUGGUGAAGAUCUGACAGGAAUCUGGAUGUUCCUCCAUGUGUUUCUCCUCCAGGCACUCGGGAUUCCCCCUCUUCUCUACGAGGGCUGGAGCUGACACUCUUGUUUAUCUGCACUGUGUUUUAUGAAGUGGACAACACACACUUGAGAUGCUGAAGGUUAAAGCAGAUCCUCACAGUCCCAGCGUGUUUUUUUUACCUUAAGAGGAAGAGGAGGAGGAGGAGGAGGAGGAGGGAAAGGUUUCGGUGUUGGAGGAGAAACUGACCUGAGUGCUCUUAUCUCUGUGGGAUAAAGGUGGACAGGUUUCACCGCAGCAGAGCUAACAGAGAGCUGGGCCUGCAGAAAAUACCUCACAUGCACCUCCAAUACAUCUACAACUGCUAACACAAUCGAAACAUCUCCCUUUGUAGAGUUUCAACCUUAAAAAACAUCAAAGUCUGUGACUGAAUUUGACAGAAAAGUUACCGAUUAGUUUUCUACAGUGUGCCUCGGCCACGUCAGAGAAGAGCAAACAUGAUAAAAGUUAUUGAACGGGUCAGUAUUGACUGACUGUGUGGACAACAAAGAGCUGAGAUGUUUGUCUUUUUACUGAUUCAUGUGCUCCUUUGACACCGUUUCAUAAGUUUUUAUCUUUGACCCACUUUUUACUGAACUCAAGGUGGGAAACGCACCUGGAUGGACUGUUUACACGAAACUGGGAGUUUUAGAGACACACUUAAAUCUUAUCGCAGUUUAAGGAGUUAUGUAACCGAAUUAAAAAGUAAAGAGAGAUGUGACCCAAUACAACAUCUUUCAUGGUUCCACUUUGACGACUCGACUGAUAUUUCAUGAAUGUUAUAUAAAUGUUGUCGACCACUUCCUUCUCUAGUUAAACCAACUUUAGUAACGACCGCAGGAUAGCAAUACAGAGAGCCACGCGCUCGACCAAAACGCCACUCUAUAGCCACAAAUAAUGCUCAGAACAGCACCUAACUUCAUCAACAGGACAUAUAGGGUCACAGACAUAGAACUAGACACCAAACAUCUUUUUUAACUUUGACUCAUUUCUUUAACAAAGAGACUAAACACAACUCACCUACUCUCUUCCAGCAGCCGCUUGUUUGUAGAGAGACCUCAGGCCAGUCCAUUACAGACUACAGCGGGGUGCCGCAGCUCAAGGAAGAACAUUUAUGAUCAUUUCUUCAUGGAAAUACAAUCAGACCGAGACGCUAAGACAGAAGAACGACCGCGUCUGUAAAAUGAUUAAUAUGAUGAUUGUUACUUCAAGAAAAUGACAAAGAAAUGAUCAUAAAUGUUCUUCCUUGAGCUGCGGCACCCCGCUGUAGUUCGUAAUGGACUGGCAUGAGGUCUCACUACAAACAAGCGGCUGCUGGAAGAGAGUAAGUGAGUUGUGCAAGCGGUCGGCAACAUUCAUCUUUCGAGGGGGGGUUGUCUAACUCGGUGUUACAGUGUGUUUGAUCCUAAAUUAAUUUUACGCCGGAAUAUCCCUUUAACUCGACCCUGGACGUUCGCUCUGGUAAAAACUCCACAGCAGAGAUUAAACGGCUCAAGCUCCGAUUGUUCACCCAGUAAGAAGAAAAACGAGAUUUUUUUCCACUUGAACACAACAAACUAACUUGUGUUUAUCUUCUGUACAGCAGUGUCGCUGCACCGGUUGCACAGCACCACCCCGGCAGUUCUGACUCAGUGUUUCAGACUUCAGGUCGAACCGGAUCUCGGUCUGUUUUCUUUGGUGUCGACUUUUCAGCAGCUUGUUUGUGUUUGAUCAGGUUCACUCGGUCUGACUCCUAAUUAUACAGUCGGGUGUGAACGUCAGUCACACUGACUCAGAGAGAAGAGUGGGUCACAGCAGGUGUGGGGCUUUUUCUGACAGGGGAACACCUGCAGUGACAUCACUCUGCGGGGGCGUGGCCAAACAGAGGUGCACACGCACACAGUCAGGAAGAACUCUGAGUCAGUCUGCUGAGGUAAAGGUCCGUAAAUACACAAAAAUAAGAGUGACUGAGGUGAAGUUAUAAAACACUGACACACUCACAGUCACUCUGAUUAUCUCUGCAGCUGCUUUUACUUUUAGUUUCACCGUUUUUACAGCAGGUUACUGUAAACACCUGCUCAGAGUCCAUCUCUGUCACAUCAGGAAAUGUUUGUGUUUAUGCCGAAGGUCAGAAAAGUAGAACAGCUGUUACUCCUGUGUUGUGGAGUUGACUUUGUCUCUGACGGACAGGACGAGGUUUUUAAUUCACUUAGAUCUCCGAAUUUCAUGUUAAAUGUUAAAGCAUCAUUAUAUGACAAUAAAAUAGAAAUUAAAUAGGUUUUAUUCAUUGUUGAGUUCUGGGAGUCCCUGAGUUCCCUCAUCCUGUAGGUUUCUCUGGAUCGCUGCUGCAGACGUUGGGCUGCUGUGGACCUGAUUCAAGCGACUCCAAUUAUUUACAUCAGCCUAAUAAUCAGAGCUAGCCCAAGGCAUAAGCGAACUUAACACCUACUUAGGGCCCCGCGACCAGUAGGGGCCCCCAAGAGCAAUCAAAAUGAAAUGUUUUGAUAUUUUUUAUUGAGUGAUGCUUUCUGAGCUGAAAAUGACGUCACACCCGGGCCUAAAAAAUAGCAAAUAGGAGGCGGAAACAAGAUGGCUAAAUCAACGAAACUUACAUUGAUGCUUGCCUUGUAUUCGGACAUAAACCCGUCAUCUUUGUGGUUCUGUACUGCUGGUUUCUACGAUAUGAAAGUUAUGUCUUCUCAUCUGUUGGGGUUUGUUUCCUACCCUGCUUUCCAGAAAAGUCUCCCUGCUAUUCCACUUCUGGUUUACAACCCGGCGUGCGAACCCCGGAGCAUGUGCAGCUCGCUCAGGCCAGUUCCGGUUCGAUCGAGUCGAAAACAUGGAAGAGAAAAUGAACCAUUAACCGCGUUAUCAAAGUUUGCUGGAUAACAAUGAGAAGUUAAAUUUAGGAAGUGGACAUGCUUCUGUCCAUGCUUCUGUCUUUGCUGGUAAACUGCAUGUUUAGAUUUCUUAAUCGAUAAAGCAAAGACCUCUUUUUGUAGCCGUCAUAGUCUCCCCCUGCUGGACAUUUGAAGAAUGCAGUUGUAAGACACUUGUAUGUGACCUUCUAUUCAAACAUUGAGGUUAAACUCACUUUUAAAACAAAGUUUAUGACUUUAAAUUAACAUUUUAGAGAUCACAACGAGGGAUUUGGCCGCUUGUUUUAUCUAGAUGUCAAACUUAUUAACUUCCCUUUUGUUUUUUUAAGUUCUACUUUAUGAUAUCAUCUGUAUUUCUUUGUUUGGCCUCGACAACAAAACUGAAAAUCAAAGCUUUCUUAUUACAGUGAACAAUGAGCUCAAUAAAACUUCACUUCACACACUUUUAUUCAACCAAAGCCUCUAAUUUACACCCCCAUUGGUUGGACUAAGCAGAAUCUCAGAGGGGCCUCCUUCCACCCACGUGUCCACCAACGUUUUUAUGAGCAUGUUUGCAUGAAUGCAGCAGGAAACAUGUUUUUUGGCUGAAAGCGUGUAAAGAACUGAUUUCAGCGGGGGGUUGUACAUACAGUAGCGUGCCACCGCUGGGAUAAGCCCCCGUCUAAGCGUCCAGUUUGUUUUUAGACUCGGGGUUCACAGCAGGCUGCUAUUGAUAGAAGCUGAGCGCUCUGGAAAUGAAAAGUGCAUCUGAAGCCCUCUUAUGAAUCUGCAUUCCUCACUAAUCCAGAGGAGAUCUGCGCUGCAAGGCCCCCCUGAUCCUCAGAAAAACAGACAGGGAGGGCCGAGGAGAGGGAAGGACCUGAGUUAAAGAGUCAUAUAUUACCUGUGUUUACACUGAGAGAACAGUGUCGACGCCAGGUGAGGGACACAUCCAGAAAUGAUAAACAAGCUUGUUUUUUACUCGUUCAGUGGAGAACAUUGAAUUUUCUCAGUUCUUAGAAAACAUUUGAUCCUCUAGUUACAGUUUAACUCGGACAUCACUGGAAGUACCAGUGCCGAGGUUUCCAGGACUUUAACGAUGUUCACAUGAGGGCGAGAGUUUGUAUCCAUCAACUGUCAGUAUUUCAGAGGAGGAGUCUCAAAUUUAAAGCAGCAGGGUUCCCUUAUCUGUCGACAACACGAGCAUCCAUAUUUCAAAGUAAAGGGCCAAUAUUCUGUGAUAAUGAUCAUUCUCUUAUUAAAAAAAGCUCAUGCUUUUACCGGCUUACAAAGUCAGAGAAUCACCAAACUCAGUGAGAAUCAUCCUCUGAGGUUUAGAAUUGCUAGAGUGAAAUUUCAGCACGAUCCCCUGAGUAAUUUUUGAUUUAUAAGACAUCGAUCGUCAUAAUCGUUUUCUGGGCUGCAGCGCUAAAACUAACCGAGGAGCUGUUUCUGUCAAUUUUGAAAAUGUUUAACUAACAUGAAGCUUCAGAAAAUAUCAGCAAGGAAAGCAGAAGUGCUUUAUAAACAAAUGAAAAAUAAAGAUUAACAUCUGAAGGGGGUAAAAAUGAAGUUUGGGCUUCUGAACGACACGGGGGAGCAGUGUCUGCCUCACAACCAAUCAGGAUGAGGGAGGCGGAGAACGGCUUUGUUUACAGUCAGAAAGAGCAGAGCGCUGAAAAAAUUUAAAAUGUUGACUACACAGACAUAACAAAACACAGAGAUAUCGUUAUAUUCUCAAAUGUCAUCAAUAACUAAUAAAUAUUGACUGAUAUUAAAAGUUUUUUUGUAAAUACACCACAAAAAAAGAUGCUUCUCUAACGGAUUCCUGCCGACACCACCUUUAAGGAUCACUGUAAACAGAAAUCAAUGUUUCACUUUUCAGACUUUGCUCAGAGCUGAAUUUUUGCAUGUACUGUUUACACAUAAUUACAGAGAUUUAACCAAAGACUUACAACUUUACAAAGUCCACUCUUUUGUCUAAAUAUGUUUUAUUUUUACUUUUAAUAAAACAAGAUGGUAAAAAAGUUACAAAUUUUGUUGGCAUAAUAAUCACUCUUAUUGAUAAUGUGUUUGGCCUUUUUAUGCUAAUUGAGUAUUAAAUUCAUAAUUGUUCUACAAAAUUAGACACGUGAGAAACAACGAGUUAGUGACAGAUUUUUGUUAAAGCCCUAUAAUUAAAUAGAUAUACAGCUUUUUAGCAGAUUUUCCAUUGAUUUGGUCAGUUUGAUGUUUCCUUGUGAAUUUAUGAUCAAUCACAACUUGAUUAAAAAAACUGUUUUAAAGCAAAAAUGACAAUAUCUUGUUUUUGUGUCUUUUAAGUUGUCUUUAUAGUUUUGAGAAUUUAAAGUUCUCUUAAAUCUUCAUGAGAACAAAAUAAAAGUAUCAUCUGCAAAAAAUAGUGUAGAAAAGAAUAAUUCUGGACCGAGUACAGAUCCUUGGGGUAUGCCAGGAGUAACUUUCUUACGCUUUGACAUCGUCGUUGACUUGAUGCAUGAACCUGAAAAAAGCUAAAGGAUUAAAGUGAACAUGAGCCAAUCAGGUUGGAGCAAACUGAUCGUUCUUUUCACCGUUUUCGUCACGAGCUAAUCAUCAUUUCGUUUUAUCCACCUGACCAGCAGACAUGUGCGUCUCAGUGUGAAUUACCCGCAGAGAUAAUCAUCCGUCUAGACCAAUAAACAGACAGCAGCCAGGACUCCAAACUCACUCUACAAAUUGCUCAGAGUUUUUGUUGGGGGGUCGAGAGUUCACUGAACUGUGAUUCAGAGCGUGUUCAAAAGAGCCGCCCUAAUGGCUCUGACACGGGAUCCCAGCUUUUAUCUGUUUCUGCUCAUUCUUUCCAUCUCAGCCCGGCCAAACAAUGAUACCACCGCCGCUGCGGCCUGUGAUGUUGACACAGCCCAGCCCGCCUUUGAUUCUCUGUCAAAGUGGGUCAAAAGACAACACGAGCCGGGGAUGGCGAGGACUUGAGAGAGUGCUCGUGGAGGGUCUGAUGGGGAGGAAAAACUGAGGGUUUCUUUUUUUUAUUGCUGAAAUAUGAUCCGCCUUCCUUUCUCUGCAGCUCAUCCAGGAGUGGGCCCCCCUCGUCACGCUGCACGAACAGCCACGUCGUCGAUCCAGUCCAACAUAAAGCCACCCAGGCUGCAGCCAUGAAGCUUUUAAAACCCAAGAGUUCAGCUCGAUCCAUCUGCAAACAGAUGAUACUGCUGUAAACAAAGCCGGCAGAGAGAGAUGAGCUCUUUCAAACCCUUCGCAGCCUGUAAUACAAGAAGCUCACGUGAAUACUCUGUAAACCGUAAAUGAGGCUCGCUGUCAAACACAGAGGUACAUUUUAACCGCCUUCCUGCUCUCCAGUGACCCGACCUACAUGACGACACGCUCCUGCAUCUGCACGGAGAAAAACAGACGGUUUAGCGACCACUCUGCAGAGAAACAGACCUUUAAACAUGACAAACCUGCACCGUGAGGACUUCAUGUCCGCUCAUUUUCAUGCUGCGAUAUUUUGCAACAAUCAAAACACACCGUUUCAGAUUAACUCCGGGGUUAAAGGUCGUUUUUGUGCAGGUUUGAUUUAGUGAGCUUGGAGACGUUGUCUCUACUGGAGGUCCUUCUAUGUUUACAUGCACAGCUUAAUCCAGACCUGGGCAUUUUACAGCCUGAGGGUCAAAUCCAGCCCUUCGUGAGGUCCGUCAAUCAAAUCAUCCACAUGCUGUACAAGUGUGUUGCUUUUAUUUUGAAAACCUAGCUGUUCUUUUAUUUCUGUUUGGACACACGUGCGUACAUCCUAGAUCUGAACAGAGACAAGUUUAAACAUCGGCAAAAUAUACGUAGACGCCUUAGAGUGGCCAAGUUCACUUAUUAUAAAAGACUUAAAGUUUGUUUCUCUCAGAAGUCGCUUGUAAAACUCGUCGUCGUGUCGUGAGUGCGCUUCUUUUGGGCUUGUUUUUAACUCAUUGUUGCUUAUUUGGUUUGUCUUUCUCAGACUAAGCUAACAAUUUGUUUUUUUUCUCUGAAUCCGACUUCUCUCCUUCUCCUCGUUUACAUGCAGCUGAGACAAUUAAAUUAUUGACGUGAACGUGUCCUCCUCCCCAACACUAGGGGGCGAUAUGGGUCUUUUCAGUGGCGCUGUUUCCGACCCCGUACAACCGUCAACAACAACAACAGGUCGGUGUCAGACGUCAGAAGUGUCUACAACUGCUGCUGAAGAUGGAGCAUCGCACAGCGUUGGUUUUGUCCGUAAUGAUGGACACGCUACUUUUUGUAAAGAUGAGACCAACGCUACUCCUCUACUCUGGUGUUUUUGUUCUGGGGUUACGGGGGCGUGGCGCACUCGUACACGUAUUGUCCGAUCAUGCUCCGACUACGCUGGUUACAUGGUAGAGAAAAUCGAAUUCCAGUCACAUUAUCUGAGUGUCUUAAUCAGAGUUAAUCUCAAACUCUGAUUAUAGUCAGAUGAAGGUGUUUACAUGCACUUCAGUUGUCCGGUCUUAAUCCGAAUAAGGCGAUAAUUCAGUUUUCUUGAGCGUCAUGGAAACGUUCUGUCCUCUGAUUGGUCCCAGGUGAUGGUUGACACUCAGGCCUCGUCGAUUGUUUAGAGAGAGACGAACUCUUUAGAGAGAUGAGCGUUUUACACCCUGGAAGUUUUUCAGAGAGUCGAUUUUCUACAGAGAGAUGAGUGAGGUCUUAUUUAGAAGUUUAGAAGCAUUAAAGGUUUGGGGACAUUUCUGAACUUUAUCGGCGUGAAGCCGGGGUCCCGCCGGUGCGGAGAACGCUGACACAGGAGCAGAGAAACAAAUUUGAAAGUAGUUCAGCGCAGAGCUUUAGGAAAAGCUCUCUCAGCGUUUUUCACUAAGCCGCUCUAAAAACCCUCCUGGCUCCUGCACCUACAGCGCUGUUGUGUAACCUUUACACCCACCAACACACACACACACACACACACACACAGUUGAACCAUGUGAUCAGGAAGCUUUUGAAGCUUUUUAAACAAGGGUCGGCCUAUUUCUGAAAGUCAUCCACCACGGGACUCAAUUAGCACUUCAUCUAAAAGCAGGAGCACGGGGUCAGCGUUCUCCCUCUCUCUCUCUCUCCCUCUCUCUCUCUCUCUCUCUCUCCCUCUCUCUCUCACUCUCUCUCUCUCCGUGUUUCCUGAGGAAAAGCUGAAGUGAGUCGACUCUGCCCAGCGGUGGUCCACAGCUUUUCUUUGACCCACUUCUCUUCAGCAGACCCCUCUGAUUCCUUCUCCUUCCUCUUCUUCUUCUCCCUUCUCUUCCUCCUCAUGUUCGCCUGUCUGCGUCUCCUCGUCUUCACUCACUCCUCCACUCUUAAUUUCCUGCACACUGUCCUGAAAAUAGCCCACAUUUGGCUGACUGUCUGUCUCCACUGCCAAGAGCCCCAUAUGUUUAAGCUCGUCAUAUAUGUUUCAGAGGCGAUGACUGCGCUGGCCGAGUCUCCUCUCUCUCCAUACGACUCUUUUUGCCGGUGGACCACGUCCAAAACCGGUGCACUCGAGGUAAAUUAAAGCUCACAAAUCAGACGCUUAACCUCAACAUUCUCAGUUCAGUGCUAUACAAUACUCCCUUCUUUCUCCAGCUUCACAGUAACGUCUGACAGAAAAAGGCCAAAUGCUUUCCAGAAGCUGAAAGACGUUAAAACAUUCACCGUAUGUCUGACAGCCGGGACAUUAAUAAUCAAAUCUAAACGAUUUAAAGACCAAAACAAAUGAAGCGAAGACGGAUUUAGAGUCAAAACUUAAACUGUCUCGAUAAUUUCUUAUUUCUGUGGCCUUCUGCUCGCUCUCUCUGUCAUCAUGAUAAUAAUUAUGAAGCUUAAACUUCGUGUUAUUACGCUUUCAAUCAGCUGAUCCUGUGGUACAUGCACAGAUCAUAUUAAAGGUACAGUGUGUGGUUUUUAGCAGCAUUUUGCAGACUUGACUCUGACCACUAGAUAACGCUGAAUAUUCACAUAUUUAGACUUCGAUAAUGGAGGUUAAUCAUUUAGAAGUCUUGCAGUUGCACAUUUAACCCUUAAGGAUCCGAAUCCCUGAAACAGUGAGGCAUGACUGAUCUCAAACAUCGACUACAUAAUAAAAGGUUUAGUCCUGAACCCUUUCAGGUGGACCUACAAGAGCCUGUCAAUCCACUCAGUCCUGCAUUUGAUUGGCUAGUCUCAUACCUGAUCUCCACUUUAAAAUUCUUAAUUUGAAGGUUUAUCUCUUGCAGUUUUGACUGUGCGUCACUCAUGUAAUGGCGAUGCAUGUGUUUACAGCAAGUUGCAUUAGUUUUAGACUGUUGGAUUUCAUGUUUCUUCCUAAUAAAGGUCACGCGGGCCUCUUGUUCAGCCACUGUGGCAUUGAAAAAAAAAAAAAAUCUCUCUUGGUUGCAGAUUAAUAAAAAAAAUUCUGGCCUGUUUGCAAAAACAGAGUCGAGACAUGAACCAUUAAAACUUUUGCACGGUUCAAAAACUUUGACUCGAGUGAAUCCUCUUGUUUUGUUGUAUCUUUGGUUUCACUCGCUAUCAGAGACAGAAAUCUCCCGAUAUCAGUCCAAUACCAGCAAAAAAACAAAUAUCGGAUUUUAUUGGCCUGCAUCUAAAAUCUCCGAUAUCAGCACUCCGAUACAAGCGGUCCGUUCCAGACUCUGCUCCUGCGUUUCUAUCUAGCAGCGUCCUGAUCCAGCAUGUAAAGCCCACAAAAUCACAAAAACAGUGUGUGCUAAAGUACGAACAAAGAAGAGAGGAGUAGGAGUGACGUCGGCCUUGUGGCAGAAUUUUUUGUUGAAGUCCGAAAAAGACGUUGCAGCUGAGUGAAAUACUGGAGGCUACAAUAUCGGUAUCGUAUCGGACACCCCUGACCAAAUCAGUCAAAGGAGCUUGUGUGUUAAGUGUGUCCUCAGUGCAGAAGUAGAGCAGCUUUCUUCACACACUCAAACCGGUUUGAGCCGGUUCACUAUCUUCCUCAAGAGCAGGAUCCUGAGAUAACCUCUAUCAACAGAUCCACUUUAAUGCGUCCCAGCUGAUAAAGUGGGAGCAGCGGUGGGUUCGUUGCGGGUUAAGUUGGUGUUGGUAUCAUCGAUUCAUCCUGCUGCUCCUGGCAUGUUUACGCGCUGGUUGUUCUCCUCGCGGAGCCGUGUGUUACCUUCCUGUCUGCGCUGAGUUUUUCCAGAGCCUGGCGCUCUGAUUUGUUUUGCUCUCCCUGCCUCUCUCCUUUGUUGCAGCCUGACGUGUGUUUGGCACCUCUAAUCUGCCUUAACUCAGCACCAUAAUGUGUGUUUUUGGGACGCUCUCUCACGUGCCCUCCUUGCAGCUCCAUUUUUUUUCCCCCUCUCGGCUGCAGGAAGUGUGUGUGACCUCGCUGUGAGAAGAUCAGUUGCCUUCUCUACAGGCUGUAGGUGACCUCUGACCCCUUCGUUUUGACCUGCCAACUGCACACAUGGACUCUCUCACCUCUCUGUGCUGCCUUUGUUCACUCAUCAGGGGUCGUGAUCUGUCAUUUGCGGGGGGUUUGCGGGUAUUUUAGGCCCCUGCCGCCUCCGUUCGGGAGUCGUUCCAGAUUUAGCAGCUCCAGUGAUUCACAGAGAUAUAAUGUCGGGCAAUUACCUCUGAUUUGGCCUUAACACGAAUCAGUAACACCUGCCAAACAAGACUGGGGGAUAAUAACAGGAUACAGUAGCAGAAGGGCUCCUGGUAGAGCUCCAGAGUAAAUAUCAUAAUUAUGUGUCUCUUUUAAUCGGGUCAAUUUAAAACACGUGUUUUUAUCUCAGAGUUUGCUCAUAAUUAUCGGUUUUUACGUUGUCAAAGUUUUUCAAAGCUUUGUUUUGUUUUGUUUUGCAGGUUGCAGUUUAGUUUUUAAAGGUAAACAAAGAAAACUCGAGCUUUCUCACACAUCUCUCUGUUUUAUUUCUUUGUCACUCACUCAUUAUCCGGAAGUGUUUGCUUCAGAAAUUCAGAGUAACGUUCCCGAGUGUCAAAUGUGAAAGAAUGAGUGGAUUCAGGCGGCUGUUUUAAAAAGAUAUACGGCUCUGUAGUGGAAAUCCACGUAUGCGCUUUGUCGUCGCAGGUUAAAACUAUAAAUUAACUAUUUUCAAGGGUCUGAAAAAAUGUGAAUUUCUUUUUUAAAGACAUGGAGGCAACGUCGUCUGUUAAAGAGAUAUUCCGGCGUAAAGUUAAUUUAGGGUCAAACACACCGUAACACAGAGUUAGACAACCUCUUGAGAGAUGAAUGUUUCCGACCACUUGCUUCUCUAGUUAUACCAACUUUAGUAACGACCACAGGACAACAAUACACAGCGGUCUGAGGAGCCGUAAACAAACCUCAACCAAAACGCCAAAAUUAAUGCUCAGAACAGCACCUAACUUCAUCAACAGGACAUAUAGGGUCACAGACAUAGUACUAGAGACUAAACACAACUCACCUACUCUCCUCCAGCAGACGCUUGUUUGUGGCGAGACCUCGGGCGAGUCCAUUAUUGACUACAGCGGGGUGCCGCAGCUCAAGCAAGAACAUUUAUGAUCAUGUCUUCAUGGAAAUACAAUCAGACCGAGACGCUAAGACAGAAGAACUACCGCGUCUGCAGAGCAAGAUGAUUAAUAUGGUGAUAAUUUCUUCAAGGAAAUGAUAAAGAAAUGAUCAUAAAUGUUCUUCCUUGAGCUGUGUCACCCCACUUUUUUAGUGGAGGUGUCUGUGUCUCAGGUGGAGGAAGCCUGAGACACAGAAAUGAAGAACCCACCUGUCAGUCAGAUCAACCACACCCCUGGUUAUCACCACUUAUGCUAACAUUGAACGUAGACUGCAUGUGUUCAGACUCAGAUCAGCUUUCACUGACCGACAGAGACCCCUUAUUAAAGAUCCAUUUUCCAUGUCUCUUUUCAGCUGCACAAACUCUUGGCUAACCAGGUCGGGGAUGGGUCUGUUUUGAUUUUUCAGUAUCGGGUCAUAUCGGUUGUGUAAUGACCUGGCAGGCCGAGAGCGCAGCUUUAUCUGAUAAGCUUCAUUUCUCCAUACCACCCCUGAUAUCUCCCUUCUCUUGCUUCACUCCUUUGACUCCCAUUGGAGGCUGUAAACCGAGCAGGGAGCUCAACAAAAUCCUCCCUUUGUGAGCAGCUGAGCAGGUGAGCCAGAGGAACUAUUCGUCUGUCGCUGCUCUGAUCCUGACCUGCCAAAAUACCUGCAGGGGAACAACGGCCUCCUUUACAGCAGAGUUACAGCACAGAGAGCUGAUCCAACGCUGCGUUUCAGUUGUACUCAGAAGUCGGGAUUUCUGAGAUUUCCGUCACAAAUGCAUCUGGAACUCCCCCUAAAGUCGGACGAUCCUCACCAACCCUGACAUGACGACAACAUCAUAAUCCAAGAUGGCAGCGCAGUGCGUCAACAAGAGUAACAGUGAAACUCUCCUAAUGUUUUAUUUAUCAGCACUUCUGUUUUGUUUUGUGAAAUUAAAUAAGUGGUUUAUGUUGUUCUGCCCAACGUCUAACUGUGAACACGCUGCAAUGGUGUCUGUAACCCGGAAUUUCCACUGCAUCUGAAACGGGUCCGAUUCAGAACGGCAGCGAGUUUCGCCGUACGUCAAUUCUUACUGGAUCCAUUUGUGAGGCGAAUUCCGUGGCGGAUUACAGACAGCAGGAAUCAUGAGAACUCACAAGAACCCACAAAUUCACGUGCAAUAAAAAGUUGUCUCUUAGCCACAGAGGCGAACCAUAUAAGCAGUAGAUUGUGUCCAGAGGAGGAAAUCUACUUCCAGACUUCUAGAAUCAGCAUCUCCUCAUCCAUGGUGUCAUCGGGGUGAAAUGACGUCUAAAAACCUUUCACUUGUUCGUCUCCGCCCGUUUGCAUGGUGUGAAAUACGAUCCUCCUGAAACACGGAGUGUUUUAUUUUGAAAAGAAGCCGGAUGUUUUAUUUUGUGUCUGUGCCCGACUUCCUUUCCAGCACGAGUUAAUCUGUGCUGAAUUUAUCUGCCAUGCUCCGGCGUCCGGAAAAAAUAGAACCCUUGUGAUCAGCUGAGGAGACCGGCGAUCCGCAGAGGAACGGAAAGAAGUCGGUGUAAAUUGACACGUUAACUUGAAUGGUUACGAUCAGCUACGAUCGGAGGAUACGACCUUUUAGGAGACGUUCCGGAUGCGGUGGAAAUUGGGGGUAAGAGUAAAAUACUGUGUUAUGCGUCGUUUACAACUGGUAUAACUAACAAUAACUAACGACAGCUUACACUGGCCAAUAGUAGGCGUCCAUCUUGGUCUUCCAACUUGUUUACUGGAAUGCCGUCAAUUGUGGUUUAACGUCAUUCCCAAGCUCUGACAUCCAACUUCCGAGGUAACUGGAACGCAGCUUCGGCUUAGACGGAGCUGUGAUCUUAUAAACUAGAACGCUUCUAUCCUUUUUUACCCAUGAUGCAGUUUGAUUACAGAGCUGUGUUAUUAAAACAGAGUUUCACCUCUGCCUGAUUUGUGUGUUUUAAAGGAGCUGAAGCGCUCUCACGUCGUUCCAGCUCUCUCACGACCUUCUUUGGUUUACGAACUGCAGCCAUAAUGUGGUUUAAAUUGUUUGACAUACACUCGGCUCUUGUUGAAAAUCCUCAACAGCAGGCAGAAAAUCCUGAAGAUGACCCAGAUAGACAAGAAAGAUACAAGAUUUCCUCCCUGCCAAUAUCGUCACAUAUAACAUUAUGGUUUUGCAGCGAUGAUUUCCACAUUUUGGCCAGUUUACUGAGCGUGUAUUUAAGUUUUAUUAGACUUGCUCUUUCCAUCGUUGAAUUAGAGGGAGAUUAAUAAUCAGUAGACAAAACAUUGGCAGACAGUUGCCCGGGGAGUGCACAAUGAUUUCCAGAGUACUCCAGAGUCCCCUGGCUGGAAAUACUCGAAUGUGACCCAUUUAGCAGAGUUUUCAGCAGAUUUAAAAGUUGUUUUUCACCAACAUCAUAUUCCUCUGGGGCAGUAUCUGAAAAUAACCCCCUGACAGCGGACUAACUGGGCCUCUGAGAAACCUGUGACCUCAAUGAUUCCAGAAAGAUGUUUGCAAACUGGCCACACAGACUGAAUGUGUAACCGUAUUUUGCAAGCAGCAAAUACGGCGAGUUUUUGACAAAGUCAGCAAACAUAAAGCCCUGGAUAUGUACGCUGAAUCUGCAGACGGAGUGAUAUCAGACCUCUCCUGCUGCAGAAUCAACUCUGCUUUUGGCUCCAAAACCCUGAGAAACGGUUUUUAAUUCUGGAUUGCAAAGGUGAAACGAGGGACAACCUGAUUAUAGGGCUGUUUUUCAAUUUUGACGACUUAUUUAGUGACAACUUCACCAAACUUCACUCUAAAAAUAAAAAGGUUUCCUAUUAUCAAAACGAAACCAUAUGCCAAGCCAGUAAGUCAGAAGACAGAAGAAGAGACCAGAGCAUACGUGACACUCAGGCGCCAUAAAAGAGUUCCUCUGUGUGUCACAUGAUCGUUUCCAGAGAUGCAGAUAGACAUCCACACGGAGAUGAAAUGGUCGUCGUUUACACAAACGCCGUUUCCGUGUGGAUGAAAUGCCAAUACGACAAAAAACUUUUGCGUUUCCUCCUGAAUUUGUUUCCGUGGUGACGGGUUGAUACCGCCUUCAGACAGACUUUACAGCGGGGAGUGGUUUACUCUUCAUCUGAAACUGUGAAGUCGUACCAAUUCAACACGACUGACUCGCUCUUGUCCGAUUUAACCACGAAAUUAUCGCCUUCUUUUACAAACGCCAUGUUUGUUUAGACUGGUGUGUGUGGGAAAUGAGGAGCGCUCCCACAGAAAGGAGGAGUCUAUGGUGGCCUGGAGGCGCGAGACAUGAUAGAGAGGAAAACUGAUUCAACGAUUUUAGUUUUUUUCCCAACAUUGUCAUAAUCAAAUAAUCUGAUUACGAUUUAAAAUCGACUAAUCGUGCAGCACUACCUGAUCAUAAAAAUCAACACCCAAAAAAGAACAAAUGUCAGAUAUUUCUAAUAUUGUUCUCAGUGAUUUAUUUGAAGGGCACAAAGCUGCAGAUUGGUGAUUCAUAGCUGAGCAGUAAACCAGCAGAGACAAGAAGAUAAAGAGCAUGAAGACAGUGUUUCAACAUCUGAGGACAUUAGUGAAAGAGUCAUCAACCAAACUGAAGAAAACAAACACCUCAACUCAAGAAGUGCAUGAAUGAGCUGCAUGGAAAUAAAAGGUUACAAAGAGUUUAUUUUGCAGAAAUGAUCGUGGACAGAAAAGGAGGAUUUUAACGGUCAAUGUGUCGCUGCUGCAUCUGCAGAAAGUGAAGCUCCAACAUCUGCACCACAGAGGAAAUGCAGGUACAAAACAAAAACAGUUUUCAAACGGGACAGAGAGUCCUGGUUUUCACUACGUGGGUCUCUGCGUCAGCCGGGAUGUUUGAGGUGAAAAAACAUUUGCUUUUUUGAAUCGCAGUUACCCACAAAUCCCAGACGGUACACGUGUGUCAUUACAGAAACAUGCCAGCCUGGAGCAGCCCUGUUGGGUUUGGACUUUUAUCCCUACAUGACAUCGCCCCAUUUCCCCUGAUCAGCCUGCGUUUCUUCAACAUACACUUCCAAAACCAGAAAUGUCAGAAACAAUGCGUGUUAAACCGCCAGAGGGUCCGCUUUGCAGCCCUGAAAUACCCCAGAUUACUUUCUUUGAAGACUUCCCAUCAUCCUCCGACUAUUUGAAGCAACAUUUCACCUUGUCAGUCUGUUCUUCUUCUUCUUCUUCUUCUUCUUCGUCUCUUUUCAUGUCAAACACACGUGUCUCUGCAGGAUGAAUGUCUAGGAAUCCUCCCAAACCCCAAUCCUUUGGCUCGAAAUAACUCCUUCGCUCUAAUGGAGCACAAUUAAGUGUACCAGAGACUCCCCCCUCCCCUCACCCUCAACCCGCCGUCCUCCCUCAGGUCCUCACUUAGUGCGGCUUGGCGCUCUGACAGACAUGCAGCGCUGAACAAUGACUGGCGUCCGAUUCUCUCUGGCAGCCUGUGGAGCUGUAAUCAUGGGACGGAGUAAUCCUGACGGCGGAUUUUUGUGAGCGAACGCUUGAAACGACUGUAUCUGCUCGUGCGCUCACAUGCGUGCGGGUGUUUCACUCGGUCCCUAAAGGUUUCUUUAAGUGUUGUGAGAGGCGAACACUGGCUGGGAUUUGUUCUCCGCGCGUGUUUUACAGUAGCAGACUGAGACCUCCGGCUGACGGCGAGCGGGAGCGAUCCCUGGUGUCUGAAUCGAGGGCGGAGAGCCAACUCUCAGGAAACAAGAUGCUGAACUGACUCGGUGCUUCACAGAAGGUUGUUGGAGUCACCUCAACAUCAUCUGCAGACCCUCUCCAAGAUCCAAGAGUGUCUGCAGACUCAGCAGAGCUGGAUCAUGUCGCUCUGCAAGUUAGUUAAAGGUUUGGUUGCAGUUUCAACAAACAGACUUUCCCUCUUUUCUGAUCUCAGAUCGGGUCGCAGAGGCAGAAGUCUCAACGCCAGACCAGUGUUCGGUCCAGUCUGACUCGGCUCUCCAUCAGGGAGACGUAUUACAAAUCAAAACAGUCAGUAAAACACGUUUGCAUGACGCUGACCCUAACCACCGUCACAUUCACAGCUCCCUGUUUGUUCGUACGAUGCAAAAGUUUCAUCUUUUUUACACCGUUUCUUCCUCCUUCUAGGUUUUUGUUUACUUUUUUUUGUUUACUUCCUGGCGUGCAAACAAUAGAGCAUGUGCAGAACUCUAACCCCCAAUUUCCAACGCAUCCGGAACGGCUACUAAAAGGCCGUAUCCGCCAAUCGUCGCUGAUCGUAACCAUUCAAGUUAACGUGUCAAUUUACACCGACUUCUUUCCGUUCCUCUGCGGAUCGCCGGACUCCACAGCUGAUCACAAGAGUUCUAUUUUUCCGGACGCCGGAGCAUGGCGGAUAAAUUCAGCACAGAUUAACCCGUGCUGGAAAGGAAGUCGGGCACAGACACAAAAUAAAACAUCCGGCUUCUUUUCAAAAUAAAACACUCCGUGUUUCAGGAGGAUCAUAUUUCACACCAUGCAAACGUUGAUGGGAACGAACAAGUGAAAGGUUUUUAGACGUCAUUUCACCCCGAUGACACCAUGGAUGAGGAGAUGCUGAUUCUAGAAGUCUAGAAGUAGAUUUCCUCCUCUGGACGGACACAAUCUACUGCUUAUAUGUCUAUGUGUCUGUCUUUA